rnacentral:lncRNA from 1 species
AGGACCUGGCUUGGUUGGGAAGUGGGGCCUGGGACCCUGGGACCCUGUGCUCCGACCCCACCUGCAAGGCUGCGCCCUCCGCAGGGGGCCGUCCGGGGGGGCCCUGCCCGCGGGUCACUGCCAGGAUCCUGCAAGCAGCCAGCGGGCACCGCUGUCACCACAUUUCACACUCUGAGGAGCUCUGGGCACAGCCUCCAGGGAAAGCCUGGCUGCCGACUCUGGCCCCCUGACUCCUGAAUCCUGCGAGUCACACGGCGGCACGGCCUGCAUAUCGGGGAGGAUGGCAGGCUGGGCUGUCCUGAGGUGACCAGGGAAUGCCAGACGCUUUGGGAAAAUUAUCACCUGCUGAGCCCCCUUGCUGCUGCUCUCUGGGCGUGCACUGUGAGUGCACUGUGGAGUUUACGGACACCGGCCCCCGCGACGGUGGAGUUUACGGGGACCGGCCCCCGCGAUGGUGGAGUUUACAGACACUGGCUCCCGCGACGGUGGAGUUUACGGGGACCGGCCCCCGCGACGGCAGAGUUUAUGGGGACCGGCUCCCCCGACGGUGGGGGCCCACGAGUCCCAGCAUCUGCAGCAGAGUCGCCGGAUUGCAUGAGGUCAGCGAGUGUGUCCACUGCAGACCCUGCGGAGCCACCAUCCAAAACCACAUUGAGAAUAUUUCCAUUACUCUAGGAAAAGCUUCUCCGUCCAGCUGAGGCGGGAUGUCAUAGACUUACCCUCCUACCCGAAACAGCCAAAAAGCAAAACAAAACCAGACAAAACGCAGACACAUGGCUUCCAAGACACGGGACACCAGGCAUUAGAGGACAGUAACCCUGAGUGAUGGGAACAGCCGUGCCCUAGUCACCCGUGCUCACUGCCCUGGGAGGCAGUCCAGGCUGUGGGUGGGAAGGCGGAACCCACGCAGGUCCCAGUGGACCCCCGAGGCUGGACAGACCGAGGCGGCUCGAGUUCAUGGACACAGUACCAGAGUGGAGAGGGUCGCACAGAGAGGGACCCUGAAGACCUGGAUGGGACCCCUGGAGUAUUUGGAAGAGCAUGGCCCUGCGGAUCCCCAUAAGGAAACUCCCCAGGGUGGGUAAAAAGGCACCCGGAAGGAUGAGAGGGAACAGGGCCCGACUCCUGCAGGGCUGAGGACAGUGUCUCUCCCCAUCAGCCAAGCAGGAAAUCUCGUAACUCACGGGGCCUUGGGUGAAGCCCUUGGGAAGGGCUUGCCUCGGCGGGGGACGAUCAGCCUGAGCCCGAGCUGUGCUCUGAGCCCUCCUACCAAGCCAUAAAAGCAAGACUAGAAAGGAUCAAACUGCCUCCAGAUCACUUAACCGCACGUCCAGGACAAAGCUGAAGAUUUCCAGGAAGACAAAAAUCCCCGGCACCCAGCCAGGUGAAAUUCACAAGGACUGGCGUCCAAAGGAAGAGGACCUGCCAGGCAAUGGGAAAAGCAGGAGAACGGGACCCAUGAUGAGAAAAAUGAUGUAAUCAAAACCAUCCCAGGGCUGGGUGCGGUGGCUAACGCCUGUCAUCCUAGCACUUUGGGAAGCCGAGGUGGAGGAUCACUUGAGGCCAAGAGUUCAAGACCAGAUGGGGCAACAUAGUAAGACCCUGUCUCUAUGACAAAAAAAAAAAAAGGUAAAACCAUCCCAAAGUUGACACAGAUGUGAGAAUGAGCAGAGGUGGGCAUUGAAGCAGUCGUUUUUGCUGUAUUCCCUCUGUUCAGAAGUUAAGUAGAACCACAGCUCGAUGUCCCCUCAGGCUCAUUAGGAUGGUUACUAUUCAAAAAAAGAAAGUGGCCAGGUGCGGUGGCUCACGCCUGUAAUCCCAGCACUUUGGGAGGCCAAGGCGGGUGGAUCACAAGGUCAGGAGUUCGAGACCAGCCUGACCAAUAUGAUGAAACCCCAUCUCUACUAAAAAUACAAAAAUUAGCUGGGUGUGGUGGCAGGCGCCUGUAAUCCCAGCUACUCAGGAGGCUGAGACAGGAGAAUUGCCUAAACCCGGGAGGUGGAGGUUGCAGUGAACCGAGAUCGCGCCAUUGCACUCCAGCCUGGGCAACAAGAGCGAAACUCCAUCUCAAAAAAAAAAAGUAACAAGUGUUGUUCAGGGUGUGGAGAGAUGGGAGCCCUUGUGUGAUGUUGUGGAAUGUAAAACGAUGUAGCCACUGUGGGAAGCAAUAUAGCAGUUCCUCAAACAAUAAAUAAAUGGCCCAGGCGGGUGGCUCACACCUGCAAUCCCAGCACUUUGGGAGGCUGAG